rnacentral:lncRNA from 1 species
CUGUUAGUUUCUGCUUUCCUUCACUGUGCAGCUCUGCUUGUCACGAGACAGGUGUUUACAUUCCACAGUCUGUACUGUUGGAGUUUCUCACGGGAAAGGGAGACUGGAUGUGACGUACACUGGUUUCCUGUUUUUCACUGUGUGAUUCUCUCCGAGCUGUCGAGGAGAGAGGAUGCAUUUUCUGCUCUUGCAGAGGCAAGAUGUCUUUCUGUAAUAUACCAGCUUUGAACUGUAAAUAAAGCAAUAUAGAGUAUGUAGCACGUACGCCUCAUCCUUCCGCUGGGCACGAGACUCUGCUUAAAUCAACACGUGGUUAUGGGCUCCAGAGGUCGAAUCGGAGUGCCGGCAGAGGAUCGGAAUGCAGAGGGACAGAUCGGAACGGAAUCUGCUCUGCGCGUAGAAGUGAUUGAUGAGGUAUGUGCUACUGCUCCGGGCAGCCUGCCAGCUUCAAGUUAAUGGCUUUAUGGCUGGACUUUGAACUUUUAAAGCCGGUUUUGCCGGGAAUAGGCAAAAGGCUCCCAGGCACAAGUCACUAUGCUGGGGAAAUCGAAAGUAACUUUUAAGUGCGCCUUUGUAAUAAGGCAGCUGCAGCAGUGACGCAGCAAGAUUUAAAGCAGCAUAUGACGCUGAAGGCUAAUGCCAGAGUCAUGAUGGCCCUUCAGGAUGCUUGUGGGAUUCCUAAGCUCAACAAGAAAGAUUAUGCCGACUGGGUUCAGUAUGCAGAGGCAAUUCUGCGGAAAGAGGGUUUGUUUGAGGUGAUUACAGGAACCCCCCCAGUUCCAGUUACAGAUGCAUGGGAAGCUAAGGAUUCCAAAGCAAGGGGAACUCUUACAUUGAUAGUAUCCCCAGAAGAGCUCUGUCUAUUGCGUGAUAAGACCUCAGCCAGAGAAAUUUGGGACGCUUUGAGAGAGGCUCACUUAAGGACAGAAGCUGGAUCCACUAUGUUUUAUUUUAACAAGCUGCACAAUAUGGCUCUUGCUCAAGGUGGAGAUGUGCGUUUACAUCUGAUGAAGAUGCAAAAUCUGAGACAUGAGCUGCAACAGAGAGGACUCAACUUUCCAGAGGCUGUGUAUUCUUUCAUGAUACUACAAUCUUUGGGUUCAGGUUGGGAGUCUGUUGCAACCCAGAUUGCUGUGCAACCAACUGCUCAGCUGACAGUGGACUUUGUUACUGCCGUGAUUUUAAAUGAAGCAGAUCGCCGGGUGCUAGCUGCAUGGGCAAGGGGAGUCUUCACAGACGUCAUCCCAUAGUGCAGUGGAACCACCAGAUGGCGCCAAAGCUUUGAAGGCAGUGAAAUGCUACUCGUGUGGACGUCUAGGCCAUAUGAAGAGGGAAUGCAGACAUCCCAGGGCCAAGACAGAGCAGCGCAGCGAAAGCUCAUCGCGCGGAAAAGGCCGAGGCAAAGGCAAAGGUCCGGUGUCUAGGACAACGCAGCACAAGGCUAUGGUUUCACGCUUCACUCCAAAGGUUGCAGAGGUCCAGAAGACGUCUAGAUCUUUCUUCGUUGUUGAUUCAGCGGCCACCCACCACAUGUGCAACGAUAAGAGACUGUUUGUGUCUUUUACACCGCAGGAAGGUGCGAUUCACCAGGCGGAUGACCACACUAUUCCCAGUAAAGGCUACGGAACUGUUGUUCUUCACAGUUUGGACUUAUCGAUACAGAAUGUGCUUUACGUGCCAGACGCCAAACAUAAUCUGCUCAGCGUUGGACAGCUGAAUGAGCGGAACAUUGACGUUUCCUUCAAGAACAAGAAGUGCAUCAUCACAAAGAAAAAUGAUUAUGUAUUGCAUGCAGAAUAUGUUGAUCAUUUGUUUGUUUUGUAUUAUGAUGAUGUGGUGCAGGAUGACACUUGUUGCAUUGCAGGUUCUAACAAAAGUUUGCAUGCAGAAUGUAUUCACGAUUUUCAUCGAAAAUUUGGUCAUUUGCAUUUUGAGGCAGUAUCUAAAAUGCCUGCCUUGGUUGAAGGUAUGACUAUUAAACCCUGCAGGUACCACAUGAAGUGCAAAGCAUGCGCAGCAAACAAGGUGAAAAUGGCUGCGAAAGGUAAGGUGUCUAGUAGGAAAGCUACAGAACCAUACCAGGUUGUUCAUGCUGAUUUGGUUGGACCACUAGCGCCCUCUUUGGGUGGAAAUAGAUACUUCAUGGUUCUCAUUGAUGCAUUUUCUAGAUAUAUUUUUGUGUACAAUCUCAAGCAGAAAUCGGAGGCUUUUCCUAGGUUCAAGGAAUUCUGUGCUUGGUUGGAAAAUGUGCAUGGUAAGAAGAUAAAGACUCUUUUCAGUGAUCGCGGGGAAUUCACUUCUCAGCAGUUUGAAGCUUUUCUGACUGAGAAAGGAAUUCAACACGAUUUGUCUAGUCCUCGCUCGCCAUGGCAGAAUGGACUUGCGGAACAGGCAAAUCAGACAUUGCUUCAAGGGUUAAAAACCUUGCUGCAUGAUGCCAAUCUUCCAGAGAGUUAUUGGGCCGAAUCUCUCUCGUGUUUUGUUUACAGUUACAAUCGCCGGUUAUCUUCAGCGAUUGGUUGUACCUCUAUGAGAAGAUGUUUGGCAAGAAGCCAUACAUCAAACACAUGAAGAUUUUGGUUCUGACAUGUGGGUUCGCUCACCACAAAACUCCAAGUUAGACAAGCGUGGAUUGCAUGGUAUCUUUCUAGGUUAUCAGAAAGGGUCUUACAGAAUAAUGAUGACUGACUCUAAGACAAUUAAGCUCACGAGAAGUGUUGAGUACAAUGCAAAGUGGGGGAGAAUGUGGGAAUUUUCCAAUGUUAUCCUGAUGACGGUGAUGAGACUGAGGAUAGUCAAAAGCAACCACAACAGCCCACACCCACUGAUGAAGGUUCUGAGUCUGAAUCUGAAACUGAAUCGGGUGAUUCAGAGGAUUUCAAGAGUGCGAAAGCCUCUGUGCGACCCUCUGAAAGCUCUGAUCAAGAAUUGGAGGAACCAUUGUUCACAAUAGGUCGUUUUUCUCCUAAGAAGGAAGAGGAGAGUGUUGAAGACUUAAGGCUAAUUCGUAGGUCACAGAGAGCCACAAAAGGCAAACCUCCAAAGAGAUUUGCUGAUGAGUUUGCUAAGAUAGCAGUAACAGCUGUUAAAAGCUCCAAGAAGGUAUUUGAACCUUCAAGUUUCCAAGAAAUCCAGGGUUUGGAUUCAAAGGAAGCUAAGCCAUGGUUAAAUGCCAUGAAGGCUGAGCUUGAUUCCUUAGAAAGGAACAAAACAUGGGAGCUAGUUCCAGUAGUUCCAGGAAUGAAACUGCUUGGAAGCAAAUGGGUCUUCAAAGCGAAGACAGAUCAAAAUGGCAAGAUAGUCAGACACAAAGCCAGAUUGGUAGCCAGAGGUUUUGCACAGGUACCAGGUGAAGACUAUCACGAGACCUAUUCACCCACAGUGAGAUAUGAAAGCAUUAGGCUUAUGCUCAAGCUAGCUGCAGAGGAAAAUCUACACAUUAGUCACCAUGAUAUUAAUACAGCUUUUCUGUACGGAUCUCUAGAUGAAUCACUUUAUAUGCUUCCACCUGAUGGCGUACAGGUAAAACAGGGAUUUGUUUGUGCUCUGAAGAAAUCCCUUUAUGGUCUCAAACAAAGUGCACGGUGUUGGCAUACAAAACUCACUGAAGUAUUGUUUUCUCUAGGUUUUCAGCAAGGAAAGCUGAUCCAUGUGUAUUUGUCAAAGAGGAGGGGCAAAAGAAACUGUACUGUUUGUUUUAUGUUGAUGAUUUAUUAUUCUUUUGGAAAGAUGUUGCAAUGUACAAUAGCGCCCUAGCUCAACUGAAAGAGCACUUUGACAUGAAAGAUCUUGGUGAGGUAAACAACUACCUAUCUCUGGAAAUAGAGAGAGAUCAAGAUGGUAACAUUCUAGUACACCAGUCACGGAAAAUUGCUGAUGUGUUAAGCAAACUAAAUCUGAUGGAUGCUAACCCUGUAGACACACCGAUGACAACAGGUUAUCAGGUAGAUGACACUGAAGAAGCAUUUUCUGACACCACACUGUACAGGAGUGUGCUAGGCAAGCUAAACUUCAUUGCCAGAUGUUCAAGACCAGACAUUGCUGUUAGCUGUAAUUUGCUAAGCAGACAAGUCAACAAUCCUAGUGUCAAGGAUUGGAAAGCUCUGAAACGCAUAGCGCGGUAUUUGAAAGGCACUAUGCAUUACAGACUGAGAUUUAACAAUCAGAAGUCUGGUGGUCUUGAGAUAUUUGCAGAUGCAAGUUUUGGAAGUGACACUACAGACAGGAAAAGUACGUCUGGAGUUUGCUACAUGUACAAUCAGAGUCUGUUUGAUUGGUCAUGCAAGAAGCAAACAACAGUUAGCUUAAGUACUUGUGAAGCUGAACUGAAUGCACUGUCUUAUUCACUUAAGGAUUGUGAAUGGUUAGUACAAUUGUGCAAAGAUAUGAAAAUUCCUGUCAAAUGUCCAAUCCAGGUUUACCAGGACAACAAAGCAUGUUUGGCUUUGCUGAAGUCUGAAGGUUGUAAGCAAAGCACAAAGCACUUGCAAUUAAAGUUGCAGCAUGCUAGGGAAUGUAUUCAGAAGGGACUCGUAACGGUGUCCUAUAUGCCAGGUAAUGAAAUUCCUGCUGAUGUAUUGUCCAAGAUUGUAUCAAGGGAUCAACACUGUACCUAUGUGCAGAAGUUGGGUUUGUACUGAUAUUGUGCAAACACGCUGCCCAGUGAUGUUCACAGAAAGGGGGGGAUGUUGGUUUCUGCUUUCCUUCACUGUGCAGCUCUGCUUG